UUAUUUAUAACCCAUAAGCCUAGGUUGGGCUGGUUUGGAGCUAUUCUGACUUAUUUCCUAGCCAUGUGUCCCUUGCUACUUGCUGUUUUUCCUGGCCAAGUGCUCAUGGCCCAUCUCCUCUCAUGUUAGACUUUUCCACCUCCGUGCCCUUUCUUCUCCCUUCGGUCUCUCCUGAGAACUCUCACUUAAUCCUCAAGUCCCAUCUUUCUCCCUUUACCCAAUCACAGGCUGUAGUCUUUUGUUGACCAGUUAAAUCCGGGAGCAAGGUUUACAUAACAUCUGCUCCUGCUCAUCAGAGGCAACCAGAUCUUGGGAGCAAGUAUUUAGCAUUAAAAUACACAGUAGCAUCAGACCAAUCCACUACACAGCUUUAUGUAUGCCUCUAAUCAAUUUAAAGUUAAUCUUUAUACAUGAGAUAGUAAUAAAGAGAUUUUAUGCAUAACAUAUAUCCAAUUGUCCUAACAUUAUUUGUUAAAAUUUUUUUUUUAUAGUCAUCAGGGUGGUACAUGUUUAUAAGUAACCUCAGUUGCCAAGGAGACCAAAAUACUAAGGUUACAAGUUUGUGCAGAGCUAGCCUGGGCAACUUAGUAAGAUCUUGUCAGGACAAUAAAACAAAUUGCAAGAGUGAAGGUCAGUGUAAGAGCACUUGCCCAGAUACACUUUUCUCUCUGUCUCUCUCUCAGACAGGAUCUUGCAGUGUAGCCCAGGAUGACCUUCAACUUGCUGCGCUAGUCUAGGCUGGCUUUAAAACAGAAGCUGUAAGGCUGGAGAGAUGAUUGCUCAGCGGUUAAGAGCACUGACUGCUCUUCCAGAGGUCCUGAAUUCAAUUCCCAGCAACCACUUGGUGGCUCAUGACCACCUGUAAUGGGAUCCGAUGCCUUCUUCUGGUGUGUCUGAAGACAAGGAUGAUGUGCUCAUAUACAUAAAAGCUGUCUUGGCUCAGGGAUUUUUCUUUAAAUUUUUUUUUUUUUUCGAGACAGGGUUUCUCUGUGUAGCCCUGGCUGUCCUGGAGCUCACUUUGUAGACCAGGCUGGCCUCGAACUCAGAAAUCCGCCUGCCUCUGCCUCCCGAGUGCUGGGAUCAAAGGCGUGCGCCACCACGCCCGGCUUCUUUAAAUUUUUUAAAUAAUUUUUUUUAAAAUCUCUCAAAAUAGAGGUUCUGAUUUCCCUUGGAUAGGACAAAUAUGCUGAAAACAGAAGUGAAGUUUAAAACUCUGCCUAAGUUCCCUCUAGGGUUUAGCUUUUGGUAGUUCCUAAAAGGAAGCAAACUUAGUAUCUUUUGAACGGGUGUAAUUUUUUUCUUUUUAUUGUGCUACUUUGACAGGCGUGGGAGAGGGUUAUACGGUAUAGUCAUGUGUUUUGCCAUUACACUAUAUCCCCAAGUCUUAUUUGUAUAUAGUUUUAAAUAAAGUUUAAAAAGUAUUUUAUUGACUUAUUUUUUUUCUCUAGUACAGACAGCUGUGCCCUAUGCUCUCCAUGCCUGCUUCCUCUUUCUUUCUUUCUUUCUUUCUUCCUUCUUUCUUUCUUUCUUCCUUCCUUCUUUCUUCCUUCUUUUCUUUCUUUCUUUCUUUCUUUCUUUCUUUCUUCCCUCCUUCCUUCUUUCUUUCUUUCUUUCUUUCUUUCUUCCUUCUUUUCUUUUCUUUCUUUCUUCCUUCCUUUCUUCCUUCCUUUCUUUCUUUCUUUCUUUCUUUCUUUCUUUCUUUCUUUCUUUCUUUCUUUCUUUGAUGUAUUUCCCCUCAUUUUGUAGUUCAGAAUGUAUCUCUAAAGGAGUUCCUUAGGUCCUUGCUUGAAGUAGGGGCUCGUGCUUCUUACCACCAGUUGUACUUUACUGAUCUCUUGUCCAUUUGUUGGUGAGCUUUCUUGAGAAUCAGAGGGUCUCAUUAUGUAGCUCUGCCUGUCCUGAAACUCACUAUGUAGACCAAGUUGGCUUUGAACUUAUUUACUUAUUUAUAUAUAUAUAUAUAUAAAUACACACAACUACUCUGUACAUUCUAUAUAGUGAGGACUGAACAAAGCUUAUUAAUUUUUUGUUUGGGGUCUUACAUGGCUAAAUGUUAUAACUAUGAAGCUAUUUAGUCUUUAUUCACUCUUCACUUUUUUAGUGUAAUAAUCAGGGGAAUUUCUGCCCAAAUAAAGACUAGGCUCUCUAUCUUAGAUAAACUGUGAUGCUUUGAAAUGAACAUUUAUUCUUCCCUCUAUAAUUCCAGACCUUUCCAUAUUACAUUAAUUUAAUAAUUACAUAGUACUUUGACUUUUUUUCCUUUGGAAGUGUUUUGUCUUAAUUCUGCACACCGGUAGGAUGGAGAUAAAAGAUGCUGCAAAAUCCCUCCGGUAGACUUGGCUAAAGUCAAAGGGAACAACACUUGAGUUCAGUGGUUCAAAUCUUUAAUCCUGGCGCUUGGGAUGAAUGCAGAGUUCAAGGCUAGCCUGGUCUCCAUAGUGAGUUUAAAAAAGGAUGCAGAGUUCCUAGAGUUGUUUUUUCUUAGUUUAACUUGCGUGGAUUACCGCAGGGACUUCUUUCAUUCAUUGCCAUUAUCAUUUGGACAGUCAUGCAAUGUGCAGCCCAAGUUCAUUAGGGGUCUUGCCCAAAGUACCUAGGCAACUGGAACCCCUCCGCACCGCACCGUCCUCUCCAUUCCUUCUACUCCGCGCUUGGUCGGCCGUUCCUGGCGUCCUCCAGGCCACCGCAGGGGUCUGGAAUCUGGGGUCCUCGGUCUUGGCCAGGCGUUGAAGGGUCCGGACUACGUUCCACGCGGAAACCCAUCCUGCGCCCUGGCCGGCUCUGCCCAUCCCCCAGUCUAGACAGGGCAGCAAAAGCUGGCCACUGUGGGGUUCACAGCCCAGAGCGCCUCCCCGCAGGCCUCCCGCCGAUGCUGACGUCACGUCGAGGCGGGGCCUGUGCAGAAGGAAGGGCUGCGCGUCCUUGCAGCGCCCCGCAGCGGCCGCGUCCAGAAGCGGCCUUGUCGGCCCUGCGGCGCCAGAGACCUGACGCACGGAGCUCGAUAGAGAGAGAACGAGAGAGAAAGGGGCAGACAUGGCGGCUCCGCUCGGCUCCCGCUGAGGACCGCUGAGCGGGCGCAGGGUCUGCGCGGCCGGCCUGCAGCCUCGCUUCCGCCUCCCGCUCCCUGCCUCCUCGCGCCGCCGCCGGCUUCUGCUCCGCUCUAGCCUGUCGGGCCUGCGUCCCGGAGAGGCAACGCGAGCCGGCCCGGCGAGGCUCCGCUGGCCCCUGCCCGCCGGCGGGCCGGCCUUCCUCGCCUCUCCCGGGAGCGGCGGGCGCGGCGUGGACCCGGUCCCCCUGGCUGGACCAUGGUGAACACCCGGAAGAGCUCUCUGCGCCUUCUCGGGUCCAAGUCUCCUGGGCCCGGGCCUGGGCCCGGGGCCGGAGCCGGAGCGGAGCCGGGGGCGACCGGCGGCAGCAGCCAUUUCAUCUCCUCUCGGACCCGCUCCUCUAAGACGCGCGCGGCCAGCUGCCCGGCGGCCAAGGCCGGGGGAAGCGGCGGCGCCCUGGACGAGGCCCGGAAGGCUGAAGUUGACGGAAGCUUAAGUGAUAGCCACGUAUCUCCUCCAGCCAAACGCACUUUGAAACAGCCGGAUUCUGUUUGCAAAGACAAAUCAAAAUCACGAAGUACUGGUCAGCGAGAAGAAUGGAACAUACCAUCUGGUCAGACCAGGUUAACUUCUCAGCCUGGUGCUACAUUACCAAACGGACAUAGUAGCUUGUCACUUCGAAGCCACCCCCUUCGAGGGGAAAAGAAAGGAGAUGGCGACCUUUCAUGUAUAAAUGGUGACAUAGAAGUCAGAAAAAGUUGUCGGUCCAGGAAAAACAGAUUUGAAAGUGUGAAUCAGAGUUUAUUAUUUGAUCAGCUAGUAAAUAGUACUGCUGAAGCUGUAUUACAAGAAAUGGAUAAUAUUAAUAUCCGACGAAACCGUCGAUCAGGCGAAGUAGAGAGGCUUCGAAUGUGGACAGAUACAGAAUUUGAAAAUAUGGAUAUGUAUUCAAGGGUAAAAAGACGAAGAAAAUCACUGAGAAGAAAUAGUUAUGGGAUACAGAAUCAUCAUGAGGUUUCCACUGAGGGCGAGGAAGAAGAAUCUCAAGAGGAGGAUGGAGACAUAGAGGUUGAAGAGGCAGAAGGAGAAGAAAAUGAUAGACCAUAUAACUUGAGACAAAGAAAAACAGUGGAUCGAUACCAAGCACCGCCUAUAGUACCGGCUCAUCAAAAAAAGAGGGAAAAUACACUAUUUGAUAUUCACAGGUCUCCAGCAAGAAGAAGCCAUAUCAGGAGAAAGAAACAUGCCAUUCACAGUAGUGAUACAACUUCUUCUGAUGAGGAACGCUUUGAAAGAAGGAAAUCGAAAAGCAUGGCAAGAGCAAGAAACAGAUGUUUGCCGAUGAACUUCAGAGCAGAAGAUUUAGCUAGCGGCAUCCUCCGAGAACGGGUGAAAGUGGGUGCAAGUUUGGCUGAUGUUGAUCCCAUGAACAUUGAUAAAUCAGUGCGGUUUGAUAGCAUAGGUGGAUUGAGCCAUCAUAUUCACGCUUUGAAGGAGAUGGUAGUUUUUCCACUUUUAUAUCCAGAAAUUUUUGAAAAAUUUAAAAUUCAGCCUCCAAGGGGCUGUUUGUUUUAUGGUCCUCCUGGCACAGGUAAAACCUUGGUUGCUAGAGCUUUAGCUAAUGAAUGCAGUCAAGGAGACAAAAAGGUAGCAUUUUUCAUGCGAAAAGGAGCAGACUGUUUGAGCAAGUGGGUCGGGGAGUCAGAAAGGCAGCUGAGGCUGCUCUUUGAUCAGGCAUAUUUGAUGAGGCCUUCUAUAAUAUUUUUUGAUGAAAUAGAUGGCUUAGCUCCUGUUCGUUCUAGUAGACAAGAUCAGAUCCACAGCUCUAUAGUGUCAACCCUCCUUGCCCUUAUGGAUGGAUUAGAUAAUAGAGGUGAAAUUGUUGUUAUUGGUGCUACAAACAGACUUGACUCUAUUGAUCCUGCACUCAGGAGACCUGGUCGUUUUGACAGAGAAUUUCUUUUCAACCUGCCUGAUCAAAGGGCCAGAAAGCACAUCUUGCAGAUCCACACCAGGGACUGGAACCCAAAACUGUCUGAUGCAUUUUUAGGAGAAUUGGCAGAAAAAUGUGUUGGCUACUGUGGAGCUGACAUCAAGGCCCUGUGUACAGAAGCCGCCCUGACUGCCCUGCGGAGGCGCUACCCUCAGAUCUAUGCCAGCAGCCACAAGCUGCAGCUGGAUGUCACCUCAAUAGUGCUCAGCGCCCACGACUUCUACCAUGCCAUGCAGAACAUCGUGCCUGCUUCCCAACGUGCUGUGAUGUCUUCAGGACAGGCGCUGUCCCCCAUUAUAAGGCCAUUGCUAGAAAGAAGUUUCAACAACAUCUUAGCAGUCCUGCAAAAAAUAUUUCCUCAUGCAGAAACUAGCCAGAGUGACAAGAAAGAAGAUGUAGGAAGUCUGAUUUUAGAUGAUAGUGAAGAGGAGAAUGCUUUAUCAAUUUUCGAGAUGAGUUGUCACUCGGGAUCACCAAAGAAGUCAUUGCCAGCUGCUGCUGUCACUAAACCUUAUCUCCACUUUACAAUGUCACCGUAUCAUCAGCCAACCUCUUAUAGGCCUCGAUUGUUGCUAUCUGGAGAACGAGGUUCAGGACAAACUUCGCACCUUGCUCCAGCACUUUUGCAUACACUAGAAAGAUUCUCUGUGCAUCGGCUCGAUCUCCCAGCACUUUACUCAGUCAGUGCCAAAACACCUGAAGAAUCAUGUGCACAGUUUUUCUGUUUUCUACUACACCUUGCACAUCCACUAAUCCAAGACACCUUAUAGAUAUUUCGAGAAGCUCGAAGAACAGUACCGAGUAUUGUUUACAUGCCUCAUAUUGGUGACUGGUGGGAUGCUGUCAGUGACACUGUGAGAGCAACUUUCUUGACAUUGCUGCAGGAUAUACCGUCUUUUUCACCUAUAUUUUUAUUGUCUACCUCUGAAACCAUGUACAGUGAACUGCCUGAAGAGGUUAAAUGUAUCUUUAGAAUACAGUAUGAAGAGGUAUUAUAUAUUCAAAGACCUAUUGAAGAAGAUCGAAGAAAAUUUUUCCAAGAACUUAUUCUCCAUCAGGCGUCAAUGGCACCACCACGAAGGAAACAUACUGCUCUUCGUGCUAUGGAAGUGCUUCCGCUUGCACUACCAUCACCUCCUCGUCAGUUAUCAGAAUCAGAAAAAAAUCGGAUGGAAGACCAGGAGGAAAAUACGUUACGAGAGUUGCGGUUGUUCCUCAGGGACGUUACCAAGAGGCUGGCCACAGAUAAACGCUUUAACAUCUUCAGCAAACCGGUGGAUAUUGAAGAGGUUUCAGAUUACCUUGAAGUAAUCAAAGAACCAAUGGAUUUAUCGACAGUAAUAACUAAAAUUGAUAAACAUAAUUAUCUAACGGCUAAAGAUUUCCUGCAAGAUAUUGACCUCAUCUGUAGCAAUGCUUUAGAAUACAACCCAGACAAGGACCCCGGAGAUAAAAUUAUUAGGCACAGAGCUUGUACCCUGAAGGACACUGCACAUGCCAUCAUUGCAGCUGAGCUGGAUCCUGAGUUUAAUAAGCUCUGUGAAGAAAUAAAGGAAGCAAGAAUAAAGAGAGGCCUAUCAGUAACAGCAGAACAAAUAACUCCUCAUGGUGCUGGUGCCCGCAAGACAGAGACUAGAGUGGAAGAGGCGUUUCGACACAAACAGAGAAACCCAAUGGAUGCCUGGCACAACUCUGCAAAUAAAUGUGCAUUUCGAGUCCGGAGAAAAUCAAGGCGGCGAUCACAGUGGGGUAAAGGAAUUAUUAAGAAAAGGAAAGUCAAUAAUUUAAAGAAAGAUGAGGAAGACACCAAGUUUACAGACUAUGACCAUACAGAGGACAGGAAGUUGCUGGAGAAUGGAGAGUUUGAGGUAAGCACUGAUUGCCAUGAGGAAAAUGGAGAAGAGACUGGAGACUUAUCUAUGACCAACGAUGAAUCUUCAUGUGACAUCAUGGAUAUGGACCAGGGUCAGAGGCUGAAUAGUGGAGCGGGCACCAAAGAGAACUUUGCAUCAACAGAAGAGGAGAGUUCAAAUGAAUCUCUGCUCGUCCACAGUAGCAGUUCCCUCAACCCCGAGCAGACAUCUAAGAAAGAGCCCUUCCUUAAAGGCACCUGUCUAAAUGGUGAGGCUUCCACUGACAGCUCUGAAGGAAUUCCUGUUCUGGAGUGUCAGAAUGGCAGAGUUCUUGAAGUAGUUCCUCUGCCUGAUGGUGGAGAAAAGUCUAGUUCUGAACAAAAGAUUGCUCUGGAGGAACAACUAAAAGACAAACCAGAAACAUGGAAUGAAAAUCGUGGAGAUGCUGCUGAGAAGCUAGAAGUGCUGGAAUGUAGCAGUAGUGAGAAGCCCGAGCCUGGCCCUGAUGCAGAGGGGAAAGAGACAGAGCUGGAUAGAGAAGGUGCUUCUAAAGUUAAAAAAUAUCGUAAAUUAUUGUUAGAGCAGGCAAAACCAACAAACCUCGAACUGGUUCCAGAAGAGCCAUCCGAGCCUGCGCCGCCUUUGGUAGUUGAUCACGAGAGACUGCAGAAAUUGCUUGAUUUGUUGGUAGAUAAAAGCAACAACCUGACAGUCGAUCAGCUUGAGAGAUUAUAUUCCCUCCUUAGUCAGAGCAUCUACCGCCAUCGUAAAGAUUAUGACAAAUCUCAGCUUGUGGAGGAGAUGGAAAGGACAGUUCAUAUGUUUGAGACAUUCCUAUGAACUUCUCAUGCUGAGUGGUUGAUCCUCUCCAAUCUGCUCCUGAUGAGCAGGCUUCUGAGCCAUUCACUUUCAAACUGCACCAAUUAUGCGCAGAGCCUUGGUGUACAGUGCUCGCUCGCUCACUCGGUCUUUCUCUGUUGAAUUUGGUGCUAUUGUCUCAGGUACCUGAAACCAACCAGCCUACAAGAACCAAACAAAACUUCAGAAACACGUUGUAUUCUCCACAAAUAAAAAGUACAGCCCCACAGCUUGGAGACUUUGGUGCUACAGAAACUGCGCUCGCUCCGCCCCUCUGCGCUCGCUCCGCCCCUCGGUUCUGCACUCUUGGGGAUAGACCAGCAGAGCGGAGGGAACUGAAUGGGGCAGUUGUAACUGUGCUGAACUGUUGAAAACCAUGGGCGACCUGCUUGCUUGUUUGUUCGUUUGUUUUUCCUCUUUUCUAUCUCUGAUCAUAUCCCGCCCCUAUUCCCACCCUGGGUAAUGGACUAAAACCUGUUUUAGAAUUGGCUAUGGUGUAUUCUGGUGAACAGCUGAAGAAACUGGGUGAAAUUAGGUUAGGCUCUUUAGAACUGCCUUUAAUGUGCCUUUUUAUUCAUUUGAGAAAGAUGAGGCUUAAUAGAUGGGCUCAUGUGUAGCAAAUUAAUUAGAAUCUUUUCUUUGGUCACAACCUUGAAAAUAAGUUUGAUACUCAGUGUCAUUAAGAGACAGCAGUAUUCUGUGUUAAAUGCCUGUCUUACUCUCAAAACAAUCAAGAUAUUCAGUAAGCCAUGUAAGGUGUAGGCUGGCAAGCUUUCCUGUGGUUUAUUUCUAGUUAAGAAACACAUACUAAAACAGCAACACAUGAUACACAGUCCACAGAAACCUACACACUUUUCCAUAUUGCUGACAAUGAUGACCAGAAAAUAAAUAGAUGGUGGCCAUUUUUCUGUCAGAUGCAAUGUAAUAGUUAUUUAUGUUUGAGUUACCAGAGAAAAAUAGUUUUCAUGUGUAAUCAGUUGUCAUUGUUUUGUUGUAAAGCCAGGACUUGCCAAAUGGAUGAAAAAGAGAGGAAUUUGUCAGAAACUCAUCUGUAAAGCUCAUUUUCUGUAGAGUUGCUCGUGAGCUCUGGUGUGUCCUUGACUGACAGUGUUAACCUUAAACCCUGCUCACAUCCUCACAGCGCUACAAUCUGGGUGGAGUAAUUUUGGAUCUUGUUGAGUGAUUUCUGUGGAUUGUACUUACCUGAAAAUAAUUAUGGGUUACUAAUUUUACAAAACUUUCUAAAAAUUUGGAAACACAGUCUAGGCAGUUGCAAAGAGGCAAAGGGAAUGCAGUGACUUUUUUUUAAUGAGAUAAUUUUUAAACAAAAUACAGAAAAUUUUGUAGACAAGUUGGCUUGCUAUAUUCCUUUAUUUAUAGCCAUUAGUUGCAGGUGUGUCUUUCCAAUAUAUGCAACACACAUUUGAGUUUUAAUUAUAGCACAUGGUGGAGGACUACUGCAGAGACUCUGAGCCACCUCAGCUUCUUGUCUUUAGUUACCAACAGUGUUUACCGGGUCCUGUAAUCACUUUGCCAGCAUUUACACGCCGAAGCUAAGGUACUUGUCUGCAUGUCUCUGGCCGGGUGGCAUUCAGGCAGCUGCUGGCCUCACUGCUGCAGGAAUCCCAAGCGCUGCUUUGCAUUGACCGUCAUGGCCACCAGCUUCUAGCUUCAUUUUUUAUUUUUUUAUGGUCCUUUUUUGCUUUAUACCUAGUCUGAGGUUUUCAUGACGUUUAUUUAGUCAUGUAACUCAAGAUGCUACCAUGUAGACACACUGUAUUUUUAAGGCGGGCAAGUGUGAUUAACGAUGAACCAUUUUAAAGGGGAGGUGAUUUGAAACCUCUAAUUUGAUUACCGGGAGGAUUUUCAUGCUUUCUUUACUAUUUAUUACCAUCAUACCAGUGCAAACUAUUUUACUGUCUAAUACAUUAGCAUUUUGUAUUUUGAUGGAAAUUGUUACAGAAUUUAAAGAUUUGAUGAAAUAAGAUGUAGCAGAUUUUUUGUAGCGAGUUUCUGGUAAAAGGGUUUUUGCAAGUCUCAGGUUCUUGCUGCUCUGUGUCUUUAGUAUUUAUUCAGUUUCUCUACUUCAGAAGCAUUCUGUUCAAGUAACAGCAGCAUUUUUACAAGGGGGAAAGCCGCACGUGUUCUCAGUAGGUUUCCGAGUCCUGCACGUGAAUUAAGGUUUUAGCCAUCAGUGAGUUUUACAAGGGAAAUUCAUUUAUGUACGACAUUAAACAAUGCUUUCAAAAGAUCAUGUCUUAAUUUAUGUUUACCCUUGAUGUAGAUGGAGAAAUCAGAGGUAAACUCAGUUUAGGAACUGCCACUUUGAACAGUUUUGAUCUCAAAGAUGAAGCCAGUCUCAUGCCAAGGGGGGAGAAAUGAGCUGAAACAGCACCAAUUCUUCAGGCCCCUUCCCCCAAAGAGAAACAUACUAUCCCAGUUUUGCUUGACUCACAGAUACCUGGUGGUUCUAUAGAUUAAAGCAGCUUGUGAAAUUAUCCAAGUCGACUCAGUUUUGUUUACCUUUCUGUAAAGUUCUUAAUUUUUGCUGUAUAGCAUUGGCAAAAAAUAAUGUACAAAUUGACCUCUGUUCUUACUCCCUAUGUGAGCAUUAUAAACAGUAAGCUCCUGGGUAAAACCUUGCUCUCAGAUCAAUAGAUUAUCAAUAGAUUAUGUAUGUCACCCCAGCCAAGCAAAAGCUCAGCGUGGGAACCCUGGGACCUUCCUGAGGAUGAUGAAACUGCAUUAGGUUUAAAACUGAUGGCUGUGGAAUAAAUUGUGGUUUUGAGCUUGAAUCUUACCUGUGAUUUUUUUAACAUCCUUUCAUGACUUGAUUUUUCUCGUAUGCCAAUGUAUUUGUAGGUUUCCUGGGUUUUAUUUUUAGGGAGUAGGGUGGUAAUUUCCUUUCUUCUCUUGUUUUGAUUCAGUUGGUUCAGCUAUGGUGCUAAUCAAUAGGUAUUUCAGUGUCAGGUUCCAUAGCUGAAUGCCAUUAUUGUUUUAAUUAUUAUUUGUAAUCAUAUUGUAAGCUUGAAUUUGAGCUUGUACCUGCAUCUUUUGUAUUUUGUACAUUUGGUUGUUUAGACUUUGGGAAUCCUAUUUGGUUUUGGUCAUGUAUGUCUACUUUGUAGAUUAAGUACACUUCAUCAACUAUGGUCUAUUCUGGGUUUGUAGUUUAAUUUAGAGUUGUGUUAAAUUGAUGUUUUGCAUUUGACUUCAUUUUACAUUAGUUUGGAGUAAAUUAUUUAAUUUUUGAAUUCUGGAAUUUGAACAUUUACUGUAAUUUGUAAUAUAACUGCUGUGAAAUACUUGAAUAAAGAUGAUAAGAAGAACA